GUGUCCGAGUGGCGGAACUGGCAGACGCGCUAGGUUGAGGGCCUAGUGAGUGCAUAACUCAUGGGGGUUCAAGUCCCCCUCGGACACU
rnacentral:tRNA from 1 species